AGUCGAUGGACAACGGGUUGAUAUUCCCGUACCGGCGAAGAACCGCCCAUACUGAACUGGGGAUACUAACCACCGGUUCCACCCGUUUCUCAUGCGCCACUUUGUGGUGUGUGGUUGUGGUGGGAUGCGUGGGACCUGAUCCAGGGAGGUAAGCGUGUUAACAGGUGUGACGCAGGAAGGUAGCUGAGCCAGGCGAUGGUAUCCGUGAGGUGAACCUGGUGUAAGGAUGUAGGGCUGACGAUAGGCAAAUCCGUCGUCUGUGUGCCUGAGAUCCGACGCGUACCCGUGAGGGGAAAUCAGUGAUCCUAUGCUGCCGAGAAAA
rnacentral:rRNA from 1 species